AUAACCAACUGGUUUUACAAAAUUUGAUCAUUUAUGCCAAAAUUCAAAUAGAUGCCAUUGUAAUUAGAAGUUCUUAAAAAACUUCUGAACCAAGGUUGUUAAACUUGCUUUUUUAAACUAGAAUCAAGAGAGGUCUAUAAACUUGAAUUGUAAAAUUGCAAGAUUUUAAGAACCAAAUAAAAUAAUUGUAAAAAAUAUUCAUAUCCUUAUAAAAAAUUAUAAAUAAACUUUCUAAUACAUUAUUAAUUCUAAUAUUCAAACUAUUUUAAUUUUAU
rnacentral:misc_RNA from 1 species